rnacentral:rRNA from 1 species
AACGAACGCUGGCGGCAGGCCUAACACAUGCAAGUCGAGCGGCAGCGCGGGGCAACCUGGCGGCGAGCGGCGAACGGGUGAGUAAUACAUCGGAACGUACCCAGUUGUGGGGGAUAGCCCGGCGAAAGCCGGAUUAAUACCGCAUACGACCUGAGGGUGAAAGGGGGGGAUCGCAAGACCUCUCGCAGUUGGAGCGGCCGAUGGCGGAUUAGCUAGUUGGUAGGGUAAAGGCCUACCAAGGCGACGAUCCGUAGCUGGUCUGAGAGGACGACCAGCCACACUGGAACUGAGACACGGUCCAGACUCCUACGGGAGGCAGCAGUGGGGAAUUUUGGACAAUGGGGGCAACCCUGAUCCAGCCAUGCCGCGUGCGGGAAGAAGGCCUUCGGGUUGUAACCGCUUUGUCAGGGAAGAAAUACUUCUGGGUUAAUACCUCGGAGGAGUGACGGUACCUGAAGAAUAAGCACCGGCUAACUACGUGCCAGCAGCCGCGGUAAU